rnacentral:rRNA from 1 species
AGUAGUUUGAUCAGUCGGCGUCAGGACGAACGCUGGCGGCGUGCUUAACACAUGCAAGUCGAACGAUGAAAGCGGGAGCUUGCUCCUGCUGGAUUAGUGGCGAACGGGUGAGUAACACGUGAGUAACCUGCCCUUGACUCUGGGAUAAGCGUUGGAAACGACGUCUAAUACCGGAUACGACCUUCGGAGGCAUCUCCUGGGGGUGGAAAGAAUUUCGGUCAAGGAUGGACUCGCGGCCUAUCAGCUAGUUGGUGAGGUAAUGGCUCACCAAGGCGACGACGGGUAGCCGGCCUGAGAGGGUGACCGGCCACACUGGGACUGAGACACGGCCCAGACUCCUACGGGAGGCAGCAGUGGGGAAUAUUGCACAAUGGGCGCAAGCCUGAUGCAGCAACGCCGCGUGAGGGACGACGGCCUUCGGGUUGUAAACCUCUUUUAGUAGGGAAGAAGCGAAAGUGACGGUACCUGCAGAAAAAGCACCGGCUAACUACGUG